rnacentral:sRNA from 1 species
CCGACCUGGUCGGGGCAGAUGAAGUGGACAUGUGUGUCGACCCCGCCGGCGGUCAGGAUCCUGCCGUUGCCCGCGAUGACCUCCGUCUCGGGGCCGACGACGAAAUCCGUGGGGACCGGGCGACCGUCGUAGAGGGUGAUCCUGGGACCGUCGUGGAGACGGUCCAUGGUCUCGUCGUUGUACGCCUUGCCGAGCGCGGUGAUGCAGCCGUUGCGGAUGGCGACGUCCGCCUUGACGAUGCCCCAGUGGUCGAGGAUGACGGCGCCGGUGAUGACCGUGUCGGGCGGCUCCACGACCUCGCCGCGG